rnacentral:rRNA from 1 species
GGGGAAUAUUGCACAAUGGGCGAAAGCCUGAUGCAGCAACGCCGCGUGAGUGAUGAAGGUCUUCGGAUUGUAAAGCUCUGUCUUUUGGGACGAUAAUGACGGUACCAAAGGAGGAAGCCACGGCUAACUACGUGCCAGCAGCCGCGGUAAUACGUAGGUGGCGAGCGUUGUCCGGAUUUACUGGGCGUAAAGGGUGCGUAGGCGGAUGUUUAAGUGAGAUGUGAAAUACCCGGGCUUAACUUGGGUGCUGCAUUUCAAACUGGAUAUCUAGAGUGCAGGAGAGGAGAAUGGAAUUCCUAGUGUAGCGGUGAAAUGCGUAGAGAUUAGGAAGAACACCAGUGGCGAAGGCGAUUCUCUGGACUGUAACUGACGCUGAGGCACGAAAAGCGUGGGUAGCAAACAGGAUUAGAUACCCUGGUAGUCCACGCCGUAAAACGAUGAGUACUAGGUGUAGGAGGUAUCGACCCCUUCUGUGCCGCAGUAAAACACAUUAAAGUACUCCGCCU